rnacentral:tRNA from 1 species
UACCAAAGGAUAAUAGUAUUCCACUGGUCUUAGGCACCAAAAUCCUUGGUGCAAAU